rnacentral:rRNA from 1 species
UACGUAGGGCGCGAGCGUUGUCCGGAAUUAUUGGGCGUAAAGAGCUCGUAGGCGGCUUGUCACGUCGGGUGUGAAAGCCCGGGGCUUAACCCCGGGUCUGCAUUCGAUACGGGCUGGCUAGAGUGUGGUAGGGGAGAUCGGAAUUCCUGGUGUAGCGGUGAAAUGCACAGAUAUCAGGAGGAACACCGAUGGCGAAGGCAGUUCUCUGGGCCGUUACUGACGCUGAGGAGCGAAAGCGUGGGGAGCGAACAGG